rnacentral:rRNA from 1 species
UGUGGAGGAAAAGAAACUAACCAGGAUUCCCUCAGUAGCGGCGAGCGAACAGGGAAUAGCCCAGCACUGAAUCCCGCCGUUGUCACGGCGGCGGGAGAUGUGGUGUUCGGGAGGUUCCGCUUUCUCGUCGUCGCCAUCACUCCUGUCCAAGUUCGUCUUGAACGGGGCCGUUUUCCCGUAGAGGGUGCCAGGCCCGUAGCGACGGAGGGCGGCGGCGAGAGGGACUCUCCUCAGAGUCGGGUUGCUUGAGAGUGCAGCCCUAAGUGGGUGGUAAACUCCAUCUAAGGCUAAAUAUUACCGCGAGACCGAUAGCGAACAAGUACCGUAAGGGAA